GUGCCAGCAGCCGCGGUAAUACGUAGGGUGCAAGCGUUAAUCGGAAUUACUGGGCGUAAAGGGUGCGCAGGCGGCUCUGCAAGUCAGAUGUGAAAUCCCCGGGCUUAACCUGGGAACUGCGUUUGAAACUACAGAGCUAGAGUGUGGCAGAGGGAGGUGGAAUUCCAUGUGUAGCAGUGAAAUGCGUAGAGAUAUGGAAGAACAUCGAUGGCGAAGGCAACCUCCUGGGUUAACACUGACGCUCAUGCACGAAAGCGUGGGGAGCAAACAGGAUUAGAUACCCGAGUAGUCC
rnacentral:rRNA from 1 species